UGUUUAAGUACCUGAUAUGCAGAAGCAAGCAGGCAGCAUAAUAUCAAAAAGGUGUUACUUGCUGCCAUAAGCAAUUGCACUCAACAGUUUAGAGGCCAGUUUUGAAAAUUUCCUCUUAACAUUUAAAGAGAAGUAAUUUUAGGAACUUAUCCUUACCUUGCAAUGGGAUAACGAUGGACUAACCCUCAAGCAGCUGCAGAGUCUAGGGACUUCAAUGACAUUCAUACGCUUAGGGAUCAGCACUCAUGGAAGCUACUGCAGGAUUGGGCCCAUCAGUCCCAGUAUGGCAAAGCACUUAUACAUGUUUAAGUUCAAGCACACAAGCAGUCCCACUGAAAUCAAUGGGGCUAUCAAUGCGUGGGAUAGUGACUGACCAGUAACUGGAAGUUCUGCGAGAAGCGUGGUCCCUAUCUGCAUUCCACCAUGUGCCCACAGCUGGAGAGUUGAAAGUAGUGUCCAUUAGUCCAUGCAUGCACCCUGGUUCAUCUCAUACCUCUGUCUGAGGGGAUAAACAGCAGGGCAGUUCCUUCUCUACUGUAAAUCAGAGAAGAUCCAAAGCAGAGGGGAAGGAGGACAAGUAGUGGAAUACAGACAGGGACCACAGUUACAGGUCAGUAACGUCCCCUUCUUCUUCAAAUGAUGGUCCCUACUGUAGUCCACUGAGGGUGACUGAGAAGCAGUACCUAAGUAGGAUUAGUGGAGGACCACCAUCCCAAAGGAGGCAUCAGCAGAGAAGUCCUGCACCAGGACAGAAUGUCUUGCGAAUGUGUGAAUGGAGCCCCACAUGUCCACCGAAGGGCAUCUCCUGAAGUGAUGCCAUAGUUGUUGCUUGUGCUCCAGUAGAAUAAACUCUCACUCCAUGGGGGGAGGGGUGAUAGAGUAGAAUGCAGCCAGAGAGCCAUUUGGAGAUUACCUGGGUAGAAAUGGCAUGCCCCCUGACUCUUUCUGCGAUAGCGAUGAAAAGUCUCAAGGAUUUCCUGAUUGAUUUUGUUCUUUACAGGUAAAAGGCCAAGGCCUGCCAAACACAGAAGGAGCGGAGUCUUCAUUCUCCUAAGGAAUCAUGUGGUUUUGGGAGGAACAAAGGUAAUUAGAGGCCAGUUAUGUGUUUUCUGAAGUUAUUAGAAGUCUUUGAAGGAAAUGAAAGUGAUUACGUUGCUAAUGUACUUGAAGACUUACACAUCAAGGAGCAGAGGGUACUUCUUCGAUGAAGCAAAAUGGGGAGAUAUAGGUAUACGCAUCUUCAUUGAGAUGUACAAGACACAUGGAUUGAAGAGGAUAUUUGGAUCUGAAGUUUAAAUUAGUGGGAUUUUUUUUUCUGUCCAGUACUAAACAAAGAAAGAAGAGGAAAUUCCCCUUACCCAACAGCUUCUACCCAGAAGAGAUGAAGUAGUAAGAGGAAGAAGGAAUAAAAAGAUGAACACACAACUGAUAGCAUGAAGAUUAUCUUUAAACCUCCAUCUUCCCUGGCUCACUAUCUCUCCCCUUAUAUUAAUCGCACUCACUGAGGAUUUCUCUUCCCUAAAAUGUAAAUCGCUGGCCUUGCUCCCAAAGAAACAUCCAAGUCCUUCCACAAUAUACAGCUCUCUACAGCAGCAUCUUCCCUUACAAGUCUCCCUAUGGAAUUCUGCCACUGAUUCUCCUUGAACCACCAGUCAUCAAAGAAGGCAAGAAUCUAUUUUCCUCACUCCACUUCUGGAGUGAGAGUGUCACUUCUAUGAUACUUUAGGGCAUUAAAGUGUUCAGAAUUGAAGAGAGGGGGCUGUAGUAGCUCAUUCUUCGAGAUAAGCCGUCAGCACUGGCACAUGCCACUGACCCUAAUCUGUUGUCCUUCUGAGCAUGCUGCAAGAUGCAUCUGUUUGCACAGGCAGCUUCAGAGAUAGGUCUUGCUGGGGGUUAGAUCUGCAUGGGAGAGGGGAAUUGUAUCUUUUCUUGGGGAGUUGAGUUCUGCUGACUGUUGGGGUAAGCUAUCAUUCCAUUUUAUUUUUAUUCUUAUAAUUUGAGUGACAGGUGCUUCGAGCCUAGGACAGGCAGUUGUUAAUUACUGCAUAAAUCCAAAGAAACAACAAUGAACACAUAGCAUUGUUCUUUAGCACGUACCACAGACAUCGUGGUUGAACCCCUCCUAAUUAAAUACUGAGUCACAUCCGCAUCUACUAGUUUGGGUUAUACUCACCAUAACAAUUCAGCAGAUAAUAUUGUGCAUCGCUGCUGAAGGAUGCAGAAUAAUACUGACAUCUCUCUUUGUCCAGAUCACAGCUCACGCACUUAGGUGUGGUUGGACCAUUUCCAGCUGACACUCUGCAAAGUGAUGGAAAGUUUCAUUUAAAAGGUAAAUGACAUUUCUGAAAAUGUCCAUUCAGUCACCACAGUUGUCAGGUGACUAAACAAUGCCAGAUGGAAUUUGUCUAUUUUGCAUCAGAGAUAUAUCUCUGUACAAACCAUGCAUAAGCAUGUAUGUAGAACAGAGCUCCCUAGUAACAAUGCAUUUCGCAUUAUGAUGUGCUUUUCUUACAAACAUGCCAUUAUAUAGGGUAUUAAGGUCCAGUCCUGUUCCCACUAAAGUCAACAGCAAAACUCCAGUUGAUUGUAAUGGCAGCAAAACCAGAAACUAGCACUCCAGAGUUCAGGAAAUACUGCAAUUUACAUCAUAAUCAAAACUCUAAAAUACUAAUAUUAUAAUGAGCAUUUUUCAUCUUCUAAAAGAACUGUUUUAUUCUCUGUAACACAACAGCUUGUUUUCCUAAAAUAUUUUAAUUAAAUAUCCCACACAGCACUGUACACUUUAUUUGGGAUCAAUGGAUAUUGAAUAUCUUAAUCACUAAACUUGUCUAUAACUUUCAUUACAUUCUUUUCAUUUCUAAAUUUGGAAAUAUAAUAAGCAUCAUACUUAUAAAGGUUUCUUCCUCCUGGCAUUCCACCAAAUUCAUUACUGAGGUAGUAUCUAUAAAACAACAGUUGAAGUAAGUUAUUUAUGGUGUAUUUACACAAGACAUAAAAUGAUCAUUUAGAUAUUGCUUAAUUACAUCUUUAUGCAUCAAAUUUUUAUUUAGAGAAGUUAAUGUAACUCUGCCUAAUGUAGGUAAGUAUAUGAAAUAUCCUGUGCUGCUCAUAUGUAUAUCUAUCCAAACAAACUGUCACUGUAUUAUUUUUACAUAUUCAAAGUUGCCAAACUCAAGUAACUUGCUUCACAUAUUGUGGUAUUUCUGCCUGCCAUAGCAUUCGCAGAGAUUAAUGCAAAUUCAGGGGAAGCAGAGAGAGAAGGCAGACCCUCAACUAGAGAGAACACCUUGUGUUUGGACACAGUAGUUGCAAGGAGUGCUAUACACCCUGAAUGACAGCACCAUAUCUUUAGGCGGGUGGGAAUUUGUCUGUCUGGCCACAAAGGGAACAGUGCUUUAUCGCUGUGGUGGGGGAGUGGGGCCAACUGCUGAAAAAAGGGGACAAGGGGCCUGUGUGGAGACAGUGUAUCAUCCACUGGGAACCGGACAGACAAAAGGAUCGAAAAGGGACAGCCCUAUGCGUGAAGCUCCCUUUUACCUGGAGCAGCCUGAGACAGC